AGAGUUUGAUCCUGGCUCAGGACGAACGCUGGCGGCGUGCCUAACACAUGCAAGUCGAACGGAACUGUUUUGAAAGAUUUCUUCGGAAUGAAUUUGAUUUAGUUUAGUGGCGGACGGGUGAGUAACGCGUGAGUAACCUGCCUUCAAGAGGGGGAUAACAUUCUGAAAAGAAUGCUAAUACCGCAUGACAUAUCGGAACCACAUGGUUCUGAUAUCAAAGAUUUUAUCGCUUGAAGAUGGACUCGCGUCCGAUUAGUUAGUUGGUGAGGUAACGGCUCACCAAGACCGCGAUCGGUAGCCGGACUGAGAGGUUGAACGGCCACAUUGGGACUGAGACACGGCCCAGACUCCUACGGGAGGCAGCAGUGGGGGAUAUUGCGCAAUGGGGGCAACCCUGACGCAGCAACGCCGCGUGAAGGAUGAAGGUUUUCGGAUUGUAAACUUCUUUUAUUAAGGACGAAAAAUGACGGUACUUAAUGAAUAAGCUCCGGCUAACUACGUGCCAGCAGCCGCGGUAAUACGUAGGGAGCAAGCGUUGUCCGGAUUUACUGGGUGUAAAGGGUGCGUAGGCGGCUUUGCAAGUCAGAUGUGAAAUCUAUGGGCUCAACCCAUAAACUGCAUUUGAAACUGUAGAGCUUGAGUGAAGUAGAGGCAAGCGGAAUUCCGAGUGUAGCGGUGAAAUGCGUAGAUAUUCGGAGGAACACCAGUGGCGAAGGCGGCUUGCUGGGCUUUAACUGACGCUGAGGCUCGAAAGUGUGGGGAGCAAACAGGAUUAGAUACCCUGGUAGUCCACACUGUAAACGAUGAUAGCUAGGUGUGGGGGGUCUGACCCCUUCCGUGCCGGAGUUAACGCAAUAAGCUAUCCACCUGGGGAGUACGACCGCAAGGUUGAAACUCAAAUGAAUUGACGG
rnacentral:rRNA from 1 species